UCCUGUAGCUUUCUGUAGCUUUCUGCAGCUUCCUGUAGCUUUCUGCAGCUUCCUGUAUCUUUCUGCAGCUUCCUGUAGCUUUCUGCCGUCUUUGUGUUUUGUCCUCAGAAACCUGCAGCAGAUCUGCGGAGCGUCAGGCAGAAGCUCAGCUGAGAGGAGAGGAAGAGGAGCUGAUGAAGAGCGGAGCUGACGCUUUGCUUUAAACGAUGUGGACAGGUGAAGACGAGAGGGCGUCAGGUCAGACUGAGGAAACGCAGCGCAAACAAAGUCUGAGACCAAAAAUGAAGCAUCAGGCUCCAGGCGGCCAUCUUGAACAGAACCAGAGAGGACGCCUGAUCGGGUCGCAGCAGAGAGGAGGAAUCAAGGAUCAGAACCCGACGGCGGAUUAACUUGAGCAGCAGAAAACCCAACAUAUUUAAAAA